rnacentral:tRNA from 1 species
AAUUAAGAAUCAAAUAAAUUGUAUUCAAUUUCGACUUGAAAGAUAGAUUAAUAAUAUAAUCCUUAAUUG